rnacentral:miRNA from 1 species
CUCUCACUAAGCAAGCGUAGUGGGGCUCGCUGGCUUGCACUUUGAAGAU